UACGAAGGGGGCUAGCGUUGCUCGGAAUCACUGGGCGUAAAGGGUGCGUAGGCGGGUCUUUUAAGUCAGGGGUGAAAUCCUGGAGCUCAACUCCAGAACUGCCUUUGAUACUGAGGAUCUUGAGUUCGGGAGAGGUGAGUGGAACUGCGAGUGUAGAGGUGAAAUUCGUAGAUAUUCGCAAGAACACCAGUGGCGAAGGCGGCUCACUGGCCCGAUACCGACGCUGAGGCACGAAAAGCGUGGGGAGCAAACAGG
rnacentral:rRNA from 1 species